CGUGGAGAACCUGCCCCCUCCCCCGGGAUAGCCGCCCGAAAGGACGGGUAAUACCGGAUACCCCGGGGUGCCGCAUGGCACCCCGGCUAAAGCCCCGACGGGAGGGGAUGGCUCCGCGGCCCAUCAGGUAGACGGCGGGGUGACGGCCCACCGUGCCGACAACGGGUAGCCGGGUUGAGAGACCGACCGGCCAGAUUGGGACUGAGACACGGCCCAGACUCCUACGGGAGGCAGCAGUGGGGAAUCUUGCGCAAUGGGGGGAACCCUGACGCAGCGACGCCGCGUGCGGGACGGAGGCCUUCGGGUCGUAAACCGCUUUCAGCAGGGAAGAGUCAAGACUGUACCUGCAGAAGAAGCCCCGGCUAACUACGUGCCAGCAGCCGCGGUAAUACGUAGGGGGCGAGCGUUAUCCGGAUUCAUUGGGCGUAAAGCGCGCGUAGGCGGCCCGGCAGGCCGGGGGUCGAAGCGGGGGGCUCAACCCCCCGAAGCCCCCGGAACCUCCGCGGCUUGGGUCCGGUAGGGGAGGGUGGAACACCCGGUGUAGCGGUGGAAUGCGCAGAUAUCGGGUGGAACACCGGUGGCGAAGGCGGCCCUCUGGGCCGAGACCGACGCUGAGGCGCGAAAGCUGGGGGAGCGAACAGGAUUAGAUACCCUGGUAGUCCCAGCCGUAAACGAUGGACG
rnacentral:rRNA from 1 species